UACGUAGGGUGCGAGCGUUAAUCGGAAUUACUGGGCGUAAAGCGUGCGCAGGCGGUUCGUUGUGUCGGUGGUGAAAGCCCCGGGCUCAACCUGGGAACUGCAUUUGUGACUGCAUCGCUGGAGUGCGGCAGAGGGGGAUGGAAUUCCGCGUGUAGCAGUGAAAUGCGUAGAUAUGCGGAGGAACACCGAUGGCGAAGGCAAUCCCCUGGGCCUGCACUGACGCUCAUGCACGAAAGCGUGGGGAGCAAACGGG
rnacentral:rRNA from 1 species